rnacentral:rRNA from 1 species
GACGAACGCUGGCGGCGUGCUUAACACAUGCAAGUCGAACGGAGUGGCGAACGGGUGAGUAAAAUGUGGGUGAUUUGCCUUGCACUUCGGGAUAAGCUUGGGAAACUGGGUCUAAUACCGGAUAGUGCAAGAUGAGCUCGCGGCCUAUGAGCUUGUGGGUGGGGUAAUGGCCUACCAAGGCGUCGACUGGUAGCCGGCCUGAGAGGGUGUACGGCGACAUUGGGACUACGAUACGGACCAGACUCCUACGGGGGGCAGCGGUCGGGAGUAUUGCACAAUGAGCGGAAGCCUGAUGCAGAGACGCCGGGUGGGGGAUGUAGGCCUUCGGGUUGUAAACUCCUUUCGACAGAGACGCGGUACCUGAAUAAGAAGCACCGGCUAACUACGUGCCAGCAGCCGCGGUAAUAC